rnacentral:rRNA from 1 species
CCUAGUUGAUCCUGCCGGUAGUCAUAUGCUUGUCUCAAAGAUUAAGCCAUGCAUGUGUAAGUAUAUGAACUAUUUGGGACUGUGAAGCUGCGAAAUGGCUCAUUAAAUCAGUUAUAGUUUGUUUGAUGGUGCGUGCUACUCGGAUAACGUAGUAAUUCUAAAAGCUAUCGUGCAACAAACCCGACUUCGGAAGGAUGCAUUUAUUAGAUAAAAAAGGCGUGGGCUUUGCCAUUUGCUCGAAUGAUUCAUGAUAACUUCGACCGGAUCGCGGCCCUCGUGCGGCGGCGCAUCAUUCAAAUUUCUGCCCUAUCAACUUUUCGAUGGUAGGAUAGGGGCCUACCAUGGUGGUGGCGGGUGAGGGUGGAGAAUUAGGGGUUGAUUCCAGGAGAGGGAGCACGGCUACUACUACAUCAAGGAAAAGGGUAGCAAUAAAAUUACCCAAUCGACUCGAGGGGUAGUGACAAUAAAUAACAAUACGGGCUCUUGAUGGUAUUGGAAUGGUACAAUCUAAAUCCGGUAAUUCAGGAUCAAUAGCAUAUAUUUAAGUUGUUGCGAGUAAAAAGCUCGUAGUUGGACUUUGGGGCGGGUGGUUGGUCCGCCUCGCGGUGUGCACCCGAGUCCCAUCCCUUGUCGGCGUCGUGCGGCCUUAGCUUGGUAAGCGGGCGUUGCCUCGGCUGUUACUUUGAAAAAUUAGAGUGCUCAAAGCAAGCCCCGCUCUGGAUACAUUAGCAUGGGAUAACAUCAGGAUUUCGGUCCUAUUGUGUUGGCCGCCGGGAUGGAUAAUGAUUAAGAGGGACGAUUCGGGGGCAUUCGUAUUUCAUAGUGGAGGUGAAAUUCUUGGAUUUAUGAAAAGGCGAACCACUGAAGCAUUUGCCAAGGAUGUUUUCAUUAAUCAAAAGCGAAAGUUGGAGGCUCGAAGGCGAUCGGAUACCGUCCUAGUCUCAACCAUAAGCGAUCUUGACCGGGGAUGGGAUGUUAACUCUUAGGACUCACCGGCACCUUAUGAGAAAUCAAAAGUCUUUGGGUUAGGUAUAGUAUGGUGUGAGGCAAACUUAAAGGAAUUGGCCGGAAGGGCACCACGGGGUGGGCACUGUGGCUUAAUUUGACUCAACAGGGGAAACUUACAGGUCGGACCUGCCAAAGGAUUGCAGACUGAGAAGCUCUUUCUUGAUUCUAUGGGUGGUGGUGCAUGGCGUUCUUAGUUGGUGGGGCGAUUUGUCUGCAGUUAAUUCGAUAUGAACGAGACCUCAGCCUGCUAACUUCUUCUGGCGGAGGCAUCCCUCAUGACCCGCUUCUUAGAGGACUAUGGCGUUUAGGCCGCGGAAGUUUGAGGCAAUAACAGGUCUGUGAUGCCCUUAGAUGUUCGGGCGCCGCUGCGGCGCUUCAGCGAUGUAUUCAACGAGUCUAUAGCCUUGGCAAGCGGGGCGGAUAAUCUUUGAAAAUUUCAUCGUGAUGGGGAUAGAUCAUUACAAUUGUUGGUCUUCAGCGAGGAAUUCCUAGUAGCUUGAGUCAUCAGCUGGCGUUGACUACACGAUCCCUGCCCUUUGUACACACCGUCCGUGGCUCCUACCGAUUGAAUGGUCGGUGAAGUGUUGGGAUCGAAGGCGCGAAGCGAUUCGCCCUUCUGGCGUCGCGAAGUCCACUGAACCUUAUCAUUUAGAGGAAGGAGAAUCGUAACAAAGGUUUCCGUAGGUGAACGCGGAAG